rnacentral:misc_RNA from 1 species
GAAAUGCGAUACUUGGUGUGAAUUGCAGAAUUCAGUGAAUCAUCAAAUCUUUGAACGCAAAUUGCGCUCUUGGGAUAUGCCUGAGAGCAUGCCUUUUUGAGUAUCGGAUAUAUCUACUCCAAACUAUCAACUUGUUUUGAUAGACUGGGACACUGAGAGUUCUUGUGUUACAGCAAGAUCUUUUGAAGUAGAGUGAGCUCUGCUAAGUACAUAUUCAUAAGUUUGUGUGCUGAAACCACAGUGCGAAAGCUAACGCUUUCCAUAACUAAGUGACGUGGGUAAACCCAUUAAACGUCUGCUUGUUAUCA